UUGUUUAGGGGGUGUUAUUCGUUAAUGGAUUUUAAUAGAAUUGAAAUCCAAGCCGAAUCCACUGUUAUUCAACUAAUGAUUCUAUAUCCAACUUUAAAAUUUAGUGUUAUUGGAACUCAUCUUUGUAAAUCAUGCUUAAUAGAUUUUAAAGUUUGAUGUUAUUCAAUUAAGAUUUUAAAUAUUUCAUUAAAAUCCAGCGUUAUUAAAAACUAAAAGACUUGUAAAAUCUUUGUAUAUUAAUUCAUUUGAAAUGAAACCUCUUUGGAGUUUCAUGAGUAAAUCACUAGAAUCAAAAUCCAAGACAUAUUGCAGAGAUUUUAAAAUUCAUACAAACAUAUUCUUAAAAGCAAUAUCAGAAAACAAGUCUAAAGCUUUAAGAAUUGACUUUAACUCCAUAAUUGAAUAACACCACCUUAGU
rnacentral:sRNA from 1 species